GGCUAAGCCCGGCCACAUCUGAAGCCGGUGCCGACCUUCAGGGCCGAGUUGCGACGAGAGAGUGUUAUUAAGCCGAGUUGGCUAACCUCCUCCGACCUCCGAGGACAAAUCUACGAACAAUGGGAGACCGGGCUUUCUGCUCCGCCGCUCCCGGCCUGUGGAACGCUCUCCCUGACCACCUGAGGGCACCACAGACUGUGGAUGCUUUUAAAAAAGCUACAAAAAGAUUGGGGACCACUGCUCACAUGGACCAAACUUGUGUGUGUCUGAGGAGG